rnacentral:snRNA from 1 species
AGCAAACUAGUCAGUUUUCAGAA